rnacentral:rRNA from 1 species
ACGAACGCUGGCGGCGUGCUUAGCACAUGCAAGUCGAACGGAAAGGCCCUGCUUUUGUGGGGUGCUCGAGUGGCGAACGGGGGAGUAACACGUAAGUAACCUGCCCUUGACUUUGGGAUAACUUCAGGAAACUGGGGCUAAUACCGGAUAGGAGCUCCUGCUGCAUGGUGGGGGUUGGAAAGUUUCGGCGGUUGGGGAUGGACUCGCGGCUUAUCAGCUUGUUGGUGGGGUAGUGGCUUACCAAGGCUUUGACGGGUAGCCGGCCUGAGAGGGUGACCGGCCACAUUGGGACUGAGAUACGGCCCAGACUCCUACGGGAGGCAGCAGUGGGGAAUAUUGCACAAUGGGCGGAAGCCUGAUGCAGCAACGCCGCGUGCGGGAUGACGGCCUUCGGGUUGUAAACCGCUUUCGCCUGUGACGAAGCGUGAGUGACGGUAAUGGGUAAAGAAGCACCGGCUAACUACGUG